rnacentral:lncRNA from 1 species
CAUCCAUCCAUGGCUUGCAUCAAUACCUUGCAAAGCUGCUCUAUGUUCAAAGGCGCAGGCAGGAGAGGUAAAGCCAGCGGCGGGAAGGGAUCACCGACCUUCGGGUGCCGGGCGUCGACGUUCAUGGACGGCAACGGACUCCGGCUCGGGCUCGACGAGAACCCCGAUGCGAUCAUCUCUGGCGAGUGGCCUGAGAACUUCUCCCUCUUGAGCUACGAUGAUCUCCGCGCCUACCUCGAGUCACAGCAGCCUGCCCAAAUUAACGAUCAGGUGCUUGUCCUGGGAUUCUUCUUCUUGUCAGUUGUCACCAUUCUUGAUCUCUCCUCCUGAGCUUCUUCUUUAAGAUCUUGCUCGACUUUGAACGGGUUGACUUGGUGACAGCAGCGGGUGGCGCUCUUGCGUGAGACCAUGUCGACGCCUGUGCUGGUAGCCACAGCAGAGCAGACGCUGGAGGACGUUGCAUGUCACUUUGAGGCAGUGUCAGGCCUCCCAGUUGUAGACAGCACUCUCCGAUGUAUCGGAGUGGUCGUCAAGAGUGACCGGGCAAGAGCUUCUCAUGGGGUUAGCUCCUCCUUCUCUCCAUACACACACAAUUACUGCUAGUCUAAUUUACAUGAGACACACACAGUCUAAUUUACAAGGAAAGCAAACAUGAAAGGGAUAUCAUACACACGUACACAAGUUGUUGCCUCAAUAUCAGACGAGAGAACAAAAGCCAUGCUGCUUGCUGACCUAUUUGCUAAUUGUAACAGUCAA